GUAGUCUAAGGUUUCCGACGGAAGGUCAGUCCACGUCGGGUGAGUCGAGCCUAAGCCGAGGCUGGAAAGCGUAGGCGAUGGACAGCAGGUCAAAAUUCCUGCACCAGUAUGUGGAGCGAAGCAGCACAUCGCUUGAAGGUAGCCGUUAGCGGGUGGAUGUUAACGGAUGCUGGAUGGGGGUCAAGAAAAGACUGCGGAGCGGUGAAGCAUGCUGACCGUACCCCAAACCGACACAGGUAGACGAGUAGAGAAUCCUGAGGCGCUCGAGUGAAUCGUGGUUAAGGAACUCGGCAAAUUAACCCUGUAACUUCGGGAUAAGGGGAACUCGUAUUUAUAUGAGUCGCAGAGAAAUGGUCCAGGCGACUGUUUAGCAAAAAACACAUGGAUCUGCUAAAACGAAAGUUGAUGUAUAGGUCCUGACACCUGCCCGGUGCUGGAAGGUUAAGAGGGGGGCUCGAGCGCAAGCGAAGGUCUGAAUCGAAGCCCCAGUAAACGGCGGCCGUAACAAUAACGGUCCUAAGGUAGCGAAAUUCCU
rnacentral:rRNA from 1 species